rnacentral:rRNA from 1 species
AGAGUUUGAUCCUGGCUCAGAAUGAACGCUGGCGGCGUGCUUAACACAUGCAAGUCGCACGAGAACGCUUCAGCUUGCUGAAGCUAGUAAAGUGGCGCACGGGUGAGUAACGCGUGGGUAAUCUACCUCCAAAUUGGGGAUAACAUUGCGAAAGCGAUGCUAAUACCGAAUAAUAUCUCAAGAACUUCGGCUUUUGAGAUCAAAGGUGGCCUCUCCAUGGAAGCUACUGUUAGGAGAUGAGCCCGCGUACCAUUAGCUUGUUGGUAGGGUAAUGGCCUACCAAGGCAACGAUGGUUAGCUGGUCUGAGAGGAUGAUCAGCCACACUGGAACUGACACACGGUCCAGACUCCUACGGGAGGCAGCAGUGAGGAAUUUUGCGCAAUGGGGGAAACCCUGACGCAGCAACGCCGCGUGAGUGAUGAAGGCUUUCGGGUCGUAAAGCUCUGUCAAGUGGGAAGAACCUGCCUAGUGCUAAUAUCACCGGGCACUGACGGUACCACUGAAGAAGCACCGCUAACU